GGCGAACGGGUGAGUAACACGUGGGUGAUCUGCCUUGCACUCUGGGACAAGCUUGGGAAACUGGGUCUAAUACCGGAUAGGAACCGUCUUUAGUGUGGUGGUUGGAAAGUUUUUUCGGUGCAAGAUGAGCUCGCGGCCUAUCAGCUUGUUGGUGGGGUAAUGGCCUACCAAGGCGUCGACGGGUAGCCGGCCUGAGAGGGUGUACGGCCACAUUGGGACUGAGAUACGGCCCAG
rnacentral:rRNA from 1 species